rnacentral:lncRNA from 1 species
GCGAGCCCAGAGAGCCCAGCACACGCGGCCGGGCGGGCGGGACUGCUGCCGGGGGCAGCCGGGACGCGCCUCUCCAUCCCGAAGCUUCCUGAAUACCAAGACCUGAUGUGUCCAAGAGGCCGUUUCUAGUAGAAACCUGAAGAACAUCUCUAAGAAAGAAUAAUCCAAUGAAUUGAGAACAAGAAGGUUUCUAAUCAGUCCCUGCUAUGUGGAUAUUUGUUAGCAAUGACUGAUGUGGAAACUACGUAUGCAGAUUUUAUUGCCUCAGGAAGAACAGGUAGAAGAAAUGCAAUACAUGAUAUCUUGGUUUCCUCUGCAAGUGGCAACAGCAAUGAAUUAGCCUUGAAAUUAGCAGGUCUUGAUAUUAACAAGACAGAAGGUGAAGAUGAUGGACAGAGAAGCUCCACAGAACAAAGUGGCGA